GGGUUGUGAGGUUAAGCGACUAAGCGUACACGGUGGAUGCCCUGGCAGUCAGAGGCGAUGAAGGGCGUGCUAAUCUGCGAUAAGCGCCGGUAAGGUGAUAUGAACCGUUAUAACCGGCGAUACCCGAAUGGGGAAACCCAGUGUGACUCGUCACACUAUCAUUAACUGAAUCCAUAGGUUAAUGAGGCGAACCGGGGGAACUGAAACAUCUAAGUACCCCGAGGAAAAGAAAUCAACCGAGAUUCCCCCAGUAGCGGCGAGCGAACGGGGAGGAGCCCAGAGCCUGAAUCAGCAUGUGUGUUAGUGGAAGCGUCUGGAAAGGCGCGCGAUACAGGGUGACAGCCCCGUACACAAAAGCGCAUGUGCUGUGAGCUCGAUGAGUAGGGCGGGACACGUGGUAUCCUGUCUGAAUAUGGGGGGACCAUCCUCCAAGGCUAAAUACUCCUGACUGACCGAUAGUGAACCAGUACCGUGAGGGAAAGGCGAAAAGAACCCCGGCGAGGGGAGUGAAAAAGAACCUGAAACCGUGUACGUACAAGCAGUGGGAGCACAGGUUUACCUGUGUGACUGCGUACCUUUUGUAUAAUGGGUCAGCGACUUAUAUUCUGUAGCAAGGUUAACCGAAUAGGGGAGCCGGAGGGAAACCGAGUCUUAACCGGGCGUUAAGUUGCAGGGUAUAGACCCGAAACCCGGUGAUCUAGCCAUGGGCAGGUUGAAGGUUGGGUAACACUAACUGGAGGACCGAACCGACUAAUGUUGAAAAAUUAGCGGAUGACCUGUGGCUGGGGGUGAAAGGCCAAUCAAACCGGGAGAUAGCUGGUUCUCCCCGAAAGCUAUUUAGGUAGCGCCUCGUGAAUUCAUCUCCGGGGGUAGAGCACUGUUUCGGCUAGGGGGCCAUCCCGGCUUACCAACCCGAUGCAAACUGCGAAUACCGGAGAAUGUUAUCACGGGAGACACACGGCGGGUGCUAACGUCCGUCGUGAAGAGGGAAACAACCCAGACCGCCAGCUAAGGUCCCAAAGUCAUGGUUAAGUGGGAAACGAUGUGGGAAGGCCCAGACAGCCAGGAUGUUGGCUUAGAAGCAGCCAUCAUUUAAAGAAAGCGUAAUAGCUCACUGGUCGAGUCGGCCUGCGCGGAAGAUGUAACGGGGCUAAACCAUGCACCGAAGCUGCGGCAGCGACACUGUGUGUUGUUGGGUAGGGGAGCGUUCUGUAAGCCUGUGAAGGUGUGUCGUGAGGCAUGCUGGAGGUAUCAGAAGUGCGAAUGCUGACAUAAGUAACGAUAAAGCGGGUGAAAAGCCCGCUCGCCGGAAGACCAAGGGUUCCUGUCCAACGUUAAUCGGGGCAGGGUGAGUCGACCCCUAAGGCGAGGCCGAAAGGCGUAGUCGAUGGGAAACGGGUUAAUAUUCCCGUACUUGGUGUUACUGCGAAGGGGGGACGGAGAAGGCUAUGUUGGCCGGGCGACGGUUGUCCCGGUUUAAGCGUGUAGGUGUGUGUUCCAGGUAAAUCCGGUUCACUUUAACACUGAGGCGUGACGACGAGGCACUACGGUGCUGAAGCAACAAAUGCCCUGCUUCCAGGAAAAGCCUCUAAGCAUCAGGUAACAUCAAAUCGUACCCCAAACCGACACAGGUGGUCAGGUAGAGAAUACCAAGGCGCUUGAGAGAACUCGGGUGAAGGAACUAGGCAAAAUGGUGCCGUAACUUCGGGAGAAGGCACGCUGACACGUAGGUGAAGUGAUUUACUCAUGGAGCUGAAGUCAGUCGAAGAUACCAGCUGGCUGCAACUGUUUAUUAAAAACACAGCACUGUGCAAACACGAAAGUGGACGUAUACGGUGUGACGCCUGCCCGGUGCCGGAAGGUUAAUUGAUGGGGUCAGCGCAAGCGAAGCUCCUGAUCGAAGCCCCGGUAAACGGCGGCCGUAACUAUAACGGUCCUAAGGUAGCGAAAUUCCUUGUCGGGUAAGUUCCGACCUGCACGAAUGGCGUAAUGAUGGCCAGGCUGUCUCCACCCGAGACUCAGUGAAAUUGAACUCGCUGUGAAGAUGCAGUGUACCCGCGGCAAGACGGAAAGACCCCGUGAACCUUUACUAUAGCUUGACACUGAACAUUGAGCCUUGAUGUGUAGGAUAGGUGGGAGGCUUUGAAGUGUGGACGCCAGUCUGCAUGGAGCCGACCUUGAAAUACCACCCUUUAAUGUUUGAUGUUCUAACGUGGACCCGUUACCCGGGUUGCGGACAGUGUCUGGUGGGUAGUUUGACUGGGGCGGUCUCCUCCUAAAGAGUAACGGAGGAGCACGAAGGUUGGCUAAUCCUGGUCGGACAUCAGGAGGUUAGUGCAAUGGCAUAAGCCAGCUUGACUGCGAGCGUGACGGCGCGAGCAGGUGCGAAAGCAGGUCAUAGUGAUCCGGUGGUUCUGAAUGGAAGGGCCAUCGCUCAACGGAUAAAAGGUACUCCGGGGAUAACAGGCUGAUACCGCCCAAGAGUUCAUAUCGACGGCGGUGUUUGGCACCUCGAUGUCGGCUCAUCACAUCCUGGGGCUGAAGUAGGUCCCAAGGGUAUGGCUGUUCGCCAUUUAAAGUGGUACGCGAGCUGGGUUUAGAACGUCGUGAGACAGUUCGGUCCCUAUCUGCCGUGGGCGCUGGAGAACUGAGGGGGGCUGCUCCUAGUACGAGAGGACCGGAGUGGACGCAUCACUGGUGUUCGGGUUGUCAUGCCAAUGGCACUGCCCGGUAGCUAAAUGCGGAAGAGAUAAGUGCUGAAAGCAUCUAAGCACGAAACUUGCCCCGAG
rnacentral:rRNA from 1 species